GUUCCCGUCGAUUAGUGGUUAGAUCAUCACGUUGUGGCAGUGAGGGUUGUGUGCUGAAAUCCGUGAAGACGGGGGCUCGACUCCCCCCGGGAACA